UACGUAGGGGGCUAGCGUUGUCCGGAAUCAUUGGGCGUAAAGAGCGUGUAGGCGGCCCGGUAAGUCCGCUGUGAAAGUCGGGGGCUCAACCCUCGGAUGCCGGUGGAUACUGUCGGGCUCGAGUACGGAAGAGGCGAGUGGAAUUCCUGGUGUAGCGGUGAAAUGCGCAGAUAUCAGGAAGAACACCAAUGGCGAAGGCAGCUCUCUGGGACGGUACUGACGCUGAGACGCGAAAGCGUGGGGAGCGAACAGGG
rnacentral:rRNA from 1 species